ACUCUUAAUAUUUUUUUAUAAUGUUCCACCGAACCGGCCCACCAAUUAUACCCCUACCCAAUCCACACUUUACCCCUCUUCUGCUGUCAGCCAAUAUCGAUAAAAAACAACUCAGGAUAUCAACAGCUUCAGCCGUACAGACCAACAACUUCAUUCAACAAUCGAUAUCAGCAACGUACAACAAUUUCAAUAGAAACAACAACAACAGCCGAUGACCCAACAUCAACGAUCCAUACCUGCGAACCGACCCAUAUCCACAUCCAGUUCAGCCAAUAACGACACCUACCAGCCAACGUUCGGGUUGCACAAUUCAAUGAAAAUUCAGACGAAUUAGUACGGUUCCAGCUCAACAAACCUUAUCCCAUUCUUGAAUUUGAAUUUGAAUUUUUCCAAUAAAUUUCCAGAAACACCCUUGAAUUUCUAGCCUACAUCAGUAGAAUUUUCAAAUUUCAUUCGAUUUGGCCUCUGUAAUAGCCUAUUGUUUUCAUUAAAAAGGGGAGAGCUUGGAUAGCAAAGAUUAUCAUUUAUCAGGGAUUUUAGCUAUGGAAAAAGAUUUUAGCUCGUUGUCCCGAUUUGCUGCUCCGAAAAAGGAACCAAAUUCCAUUCUUCCGAAACGAAAUCUCAUGCCAAAGGCUCAAAAUGGGACUGAUGCACAACGAUAUACUGAAGAUAUAUGAGAAAGAGACUGAUAUACAAGUUGCAAGAAUUGAAAAAUGGGUCAAGAUCUCGAAAAUGCUGAUGUUUAGGUUCACUUUGGGCUGAUAUACGCCCCAAUAUACAUUGAUAUACAGAAAACACAGAAAAUGAAGUCUGGAAUACAAUCAGUAUACAAUUGGUAUACAAAGCUGAUAUUGGACCCAAGUCCAUGAGUUUCUGGCGCAAAACCUAGGCAGAUCUGAAUUGAGCUAGAAAGGGGCCCAAAUUUCAAUUUUAUUUUCUUUAUUUGCUUGUGAUUAACUUAAUUAUUUAUUUGUAACUUAAUUAAUCUGGAUGAAUAUUCAGGGAGCAAACUCAUGUUGAAAUUAUAUAUUUUAUUUUGGUUGUUUAAUA